UGAAACCUAGGGGGUUAUGUGGACUUCUUUCCUCUUCCGCGUCCUCUUCAAGGGCAUGGCGAGCAAGGAGGUGGUAAAGUCGCGGGACCGGGACCCCGGCCUCGCGGUGCUCGCCGUGGCUCUGUGCGACUCGCGGGGGAAGGUGGUGCUCAGGAUACAGAAGACUGUGGAAGGGUUCGCCGGCGGACGCAUGAUGCUCGAGCUGAUGGCGCUCACGGAAGGCCUCCAGGCGGAGGUCGGGUUUGGGAUCCAAAGCCUCACUAUCGUUACCGACUACAGGGCGCUGCACAACCAUCUGCGAGAGAAAGCUCGGUUCAUAAUUCAGUGAAAUCGAGAUCGCAAUGCAUCAACUUCCUGGUUACCUCGCUCAAGAAGAACCGGCAGAACGCUUAUCGGUACUUGGUUAAUACAAGAUGAGUGGAUGUUUAAGAUGGCGUCGUCAUCUUCUAUCGCGCCAUCACACACAAGCUCAACCUCAUGGGCAGGGCUAGGGAGCUUAUUGAACUCAGAUGGAGGGUGGCGCGUGCGCAUGGAGGACCAGAACAACGGCAGCGGGAAGAAGACAUGCCGGAGGAGCGGGAAGAUGACGUACGUCGUCAUCGCCGGAGCAGCGGGAGUAUUGGUAAGCUUGUGCGUGUUGAUUAACAGUAGACGAUGUCAGUGUAUUAUCAGCAUGUGAUCACUCCUUGCUUUUUGGCAUAUACUUCUGCCCAGCAAAAAAAAUUUUACUUCCAAAACAAUCUUGGAAGCUUUUUUUGUUGCCAAAAACACCCUCAACUAUGCUGCUUUAUUGUCUAGCAAUCCAUUAGUAUUUUACAAGAUAUACUUAAUAUUUAUUCAAAAUAUGCUAUUUUUCCACUGUAUUUUUAUACA